UAAUACGGAGGAUCCGAGCGUUAUCCGGAUUUAUUGGGUUUAAAGGGAGCGUAGGCGGGUUGUUAAGUCAGUUGUGAAAGUUUGCGGCUCAACCGUAAAAUUGCAGUUGAUACUGGCGACCUUGAGUGCAACAGAGGUAGGCGGAAUUCGUGGUGUAGCGGUGAAAUGCUUAGAUAUCACGAAGAACUCCGAUUGCGAAGGCAGCUUACUGGAUUGUAACUGACGCUGAUGCUCGAAAGUGUGGGUAUCAAACAGGAUUAGAUACCCUGGUAGUCCACACAGUAAACGAUGAAUACUCGCUGUUUGCGAUAUACAGUAAGCGGCCAAGCGAAAGCAUUAAGUAUUCCACCUGGGGAGUACGCCGGCAACGGUGAAACUCAAAGGAAUUGACGGGGGCCCGCACAAGCGGAGGAACAUGUGGUUUAAUUCGAUGAUACGCGAGGAACCUUACCCGGGCUUAAAUUGCAACUGACUGAACCGGAAACGGUUCUUUCUUCGGACAGUUGUGAAGGUGCUGCAUGGUUGUCGUCAGCUCGUGCCGUGAGGUGUCGGCUUAAGUGCCAUAACGAGCGCAACCCUUAUCGUUAGUUACUAACAGGUCAUGCUGAGGACUCUAGAGAGACUGCCGUCGUAAGAUGUGAGGAAGGUGGGGAUGACGUCAAAUCAGCACGGCCCUUACGUCCGGGGCUACACA
rnacentral:rRNA from 1 species